AGAGUUUGAUCCUGGCUCAGGAUCAACGCUGGCGGCGUGCCUAAUGCAUGCAAGUCGGACGGGGUCGCUUUCGGGCGGCUCACGUGGCGGACGGGUGCGUAGCACGUGGGCAAGCUGCCCUGGGGCGGGGGAUAGCCGGUGGAAACGCCGGGCAAUUCCGCGUACGUUGGUCGGCCGGUGGGGCGGAUCAAGAAAGGACCUUCGGGUUCACCCUGGGAGGCGCCUGCGGCCGAUUAGCUAGUUGGGGGGGUAACGGCCCACCAAGGCGAUGAUCGGUAGCUGGUCUGAGAGGACGGCCAGCCACACGGGGACUGAGACACGGCCCCGACUCCUACGGGAGGCAGCAGCAAGGAAUCUUCCGCAAUGGGCGCAAGCCUGACGGAGCAACGCCGCGUGGGGGAUGACNNCCUUCGGGGCGUAAACCCCUUUUCUUUCGGAAGAAGAGUCCUUCGGGGCUUUGACGGUACGGGAGGAAGAAGGACCGGCUAACCACGUGCCAGCAGCCGCGGUAAUACGUGGGGUCCGAGCGUUGUCCGGAGUUACUGGGCGUAAAGGGCGCGCAGGCGGCGGCGUGGGUCCGGCGUGAAAGCCCCCGGCUCAACCGGGGAAGGUCGUCGGGGACCGCGCCGCUUGAGGGUGGCAGGGGCCGGUGGAAUGCCUGGUGUAGUGGAAAUGCGUAGAGAUCAGGCGGAACACCCGUGGCGAAGGCGGCCGGCUGGGCCACAUCUGACGCUGAGGCGCGAAGGCGUGGGGAGCGAACGGGAUUAGAUACCCUAGUAGUCC
rnacentral:rRNA from 1 species